rnacentral:rRNA from 1 species
UACCAGCAUCCCGAGUGGUCGGGACGAUUAUUGGGCCUAAAGCAUCCGUAGUCGGUUCUACAAGUCUUCCGUUAAAUCCACCUGCUUAACAGAUGGGCUGCGGAGGAUACUAUAGAGCUAGGAGGCGGGAGAGGCAAGCGGUACUUAGUGGGUAGGGGUAAAAUCCGUUGAUCCAUUGAAGACCACCAGUGGCGAAGGCGGCUUGCCAGAACGCACUCGACGGUGAGGGAUGAAAGCUGGGGGAGCAAACCGG